UAUAUUAUUUGUCGAUAAAAAAAUUCUCAAAAAUUUCCCCCUGAACGCGGUUUCAAAUUAUUAAAGCCUUCAAUAUGAAGUUUAUAACUUCAUUAUAUUUAAGUAAUUUACACGUUUCAUGAAGCACAAGUUCACUGACCCCACAAUAAGUAUACAUGAUCCUUGACAGACUGUUCAAAUUAGCCUGGUUUCAAUUUGGUCCUCGCAGUAAUGUCAAGGUGACACAUACGAUCGUCCACAAACUACAUAGAGACAUUUGUAAUCCACUCCGGCCCAUUCCCCCUGUUUCAAUGUUGAAAUGCCAUUAUCUUCCUCACAGAAAUAUCACGUCAUGGGACAAGUGUCCUGCACAUGUAAAAAUCUCACAACUUGUCAACAAGAUGUGUUCGCAACUGGCUUGUAGCAAAGCUUUUCAACAAGUUGUAACAAUGCUGUUAUUCAACAAUUUGUUGUUGACAAAUUGUUGAAUUGCAGGACUAUAACAAUUUUUUUGGAACAAUUUGUGACAAGUCUGUUGAGCUCGACAACCUUGUAGCAAGGUGUCAACAAGCUGGGAACAAGCAGUGCGAAUACAUCCUGUUGACAAGAAUGACAAGUUGUUGGAACAGCAUUGCUACAAGUCUGCUGCAAGUUUGUUACAACUUGUGCGUUUUUACGCGAGUACUGGCAUUCAAAAUCUAAUUCAUGAAUUUGAAUAAAACAAUUUUACACCACAAAACAACAUUGAGAUGGGGGAGAGGGAGUGGGGUGGUUGUGUCAAAUAUUGUGUGGACGAUUGUAGGAUGUAAUAGAGUGGCAAUGUCGCUCUACUAUCACUAAAUACUGAUCUGAGGUCGGUUGUUCAAAGCAGGAUUAACGCUAAGCCUGGGUUAAAAUUGAAUCUGCUGUUUUAGUUUAUGUAUUUCUGCAUAUCCGGUGUUUGUUUCAAAACGUCAGAAAACUAAACUCUCAUCGGUCCACACCAGAUUUCUGAAGAAAGAUUUCAAGUUUACAAACAAGCUGUUUUGAAGUUUGCUGUGAAUUUUAGGUUAACCUAGCGUUCAGCUAACCAGCUUUUGAACAACCAGCCCAUUACACAAAUAGCAGCGGCAACCAGGUUACAUCUAAUGUACAACAGCAUAAUUCGCAGUUUUGCGAAAGAAACGUCGCGCAGGCUAACAGCGCAUUUGUUUAACAAGGCUUGAACAACACGACGCUCAUUU
rnacentral:lncRNA from 1 species